rnacentral:ncRNA from 1 species
AGUGGUCCACAGUCCUGUUGCUUUCAGGUUCUGCCACACGCAAAGCAUUUGCUCUGUGUAGAAUUUCUUGUGAGGUUUUUAAAGGGCAUAGAGAUCAGUUUUAUUUUUAUGUGUUAACUACGACAGAAGAAAAUGAUAUUAAUUCGAAAUGUACGAGUGCCAAGUGGGUCACUUUUGGUAAGCAGAACUGGCGCCGUGGGAUGAACCAAACGCCGGGUUAAGGCGCCCGUACGUAACGCUCAGCAGAACCCACAGAAGGUAAAGACAGUAGGACGGUGGUCAUGGAAGUUGGUAUCCGCCAACAACUCACCUGCCGAAAUGUUGGGCCAUUAACAACGCCAUGCAGUGUACAAUGGGAGCCCUAAAGAACAAAUGGAUAAUAAUUCAAUGGUA